GAUGAACGCUGGCGGCGUGCCUAAUACAUGCAAGUCGAGCGAACGGACGAGAAGCUUGCUUCUCUGAUGUUAGCGGCGGACGGGUGAGUAACACGUGGAUAACCUACCUAUAAGACUGGGAUAACUUCGGGAAACCGGAGCUAAUACCGGAUAAUAUUUUGAACCGCAUGGUUCAAAAGUGAAAGACGGUCUUGCUGUCACUUAUAGAUGGAUCCGCGCUGCAUUAGCUAGUUGGUAAGGUAACGGCUUACCAAGGCAACGAUGCAUAGCCGACCUGAGAGGGUGAUCGGCCACACUGGAACUGAGACACGGUCCAGACUCCUGCGGGAGGCAGCAGUAGGGAAUCUUCCGCAAUGGGCGAAAGCCUGACGGAGCAACGCCGCGUGAGUGAUGAAGGUCUUCGGAUCGUAAAACUCUGUUAUUAGGGAAGAUCAUAUGUGUAAGUAACUGUGCACAUCUUGACGGUACCUAAUCAGAAAGCCACGGCUAACUACGUG
rnacentral:rRNA from 1 species